rnacentral:rRNA from 1 species
AUUGAACGUUGGCGGUGUGGAUUAGGCAUGCAAGUCGUGCGCGAAAUGUAGCAAUACAUGGAGAGCGGCGAAAGGGAGAGUAAUGCAUAGGUACCUACCCCCGGGUCUGGGAUAGCGGCGGGAAACUGCCGGUAAUACCAGAUAAUGUCUCCGGACCAAAGGUGUGAUUCCACCUGGGGAGGGGCCUGUGGCCUAUCAGCUUGUUGGUGGGGUAACGGCCUACCAAGGCAAAAACGGGUAUGGGGCGUGAGAGCGUGCCCCCACUCACUGGGACUGAGAUACUGCCCAGACACCUACGGGUGGCUGCAGUCGGGAAUCUUCGGCAAUGGGCGCAAGCCUGACCGAGCGACACCGCGUGCGGGAUGAAGGCCUUCGGGUUGUAAACCGCUGUCGUAGGGGAGGAAGGGUCCGUGAAGAACGGAACUUGACCGAUCCUAGGAGGAAGGGCCGGCUAAUCUCGUGCCAGCCGCCGCAGUAAGAC